rnacentral:lncRNA from 1 species
GACAGUGGUUAAGUGCGCAUGUUCUGCUUCGGCGGCCUGGAGUUCCCUGGUUUGGAUCCUGGGUGUGGACAUGGCACAGCUUGGCAAGCCAUGCUGUGGUAGGCAUCCCACAUAUAAAAUAGAGGAAGAUGGACACGGAUGUUAGCUCAGGGCCAGUCUUCCUCAGUAAAAAAAAAAAGAAAGAGAGACUUAGAAACUGCUUCCUCAUGGAUCUGGAUUGCGACCUGCUCUUUGCCAAGUGCCACCCUCGAGGCAUCUCUGUGUCAUCACCCACAUUUUACCUGCUUGCUAAUCACCGAAGAUUCAGCGUGAACCAUCACAGCACAGGCAGUCCGCCCAUCUCAGAGACGCCAGACUGAGUCAUUCUCCUGGAGGUGACAUGGAGACCCAGGAUGAAGCUCUGAAAUCAGCCUAGGCAGUAUUCCCCUAGGCUCUCUGAGCUCCCUUUCUGAAGCAAGUGAGACUGCCAGAAAGCUAAGUAUCUGCACUGAACUUCCUUGGUUUGUAAGAGAGAUGUCUUCCCAGGACAGUGAUAUAAUGUUCUGUCAUCAGUAUUUUUUUAAUAAAGAUAUAAUUGACAUAUAACAUUGUGUAAGUUUAAGGUAUACAGCGUGCUGAUUUGAUACACUUAUAUAUUGUGAAAUGAUUACCGCCUAGCAUUAGCUAACACCUCCAUCACUUCACGUAAUUACCAUUUCUUUUUCGUGGUGAGAACAGUUAAGAUCUACUCUCUUAGCAACUUUCAAGUAUAUAAUACAGUAUUGUUAACUAUAGUCACCAUGCUGUAAUUACUUCCCCAAAACUUAUCAUCUUAUAACUGAACAUUUAUACCAUUUGACCAGCUUCUCCCCAUUGCCCCCACUCAUUAGCCCCUGGCAACCACCGUCCUACUCUCUGCUUCUAUGAGUUCGACAUUUUUAGAUUCCAUAUAUAAGUGAGAUCAUACAGUAUUUGUCUUUGUCUGUCUGACUUAUUUCACUUAGCAUAAUGCCCUCAAGGUCCACUGGUGUUGUUGCAAAUGGCAGGAUUUCUUUUUUUCUCAUGGCUGAAUAAUAUUCUCGUGUGUGUGUGUAUGUCAUUGUAUAUAUGUAUACAAUGGAAAUGAAAACAGGAUCUUGUUCAUUGCACUCUCAUGUUCAUUGCAGCAUUAUUCACAAUAGUGAAGACACGGAAAUAAUGUUUGUCAAUGGAUGAAAGGAUGAAGAUGUGAUAUAUAUGGAUAUUAUAUGUAUUAUAUAUUAAUGUUAGAUAUUAUAUAUGUGAGAUGUUUAUCACAUCUUCUUUAUCCAUAUCUCUUCUAGAUCUUGUUUUUAUUUUCUUUGGAUAUAUACGCAGAAGUGGGAUUGCUGGAUCAUAUGGUAGUUCUAUUUUUAAUUUUUUGAACAACCUCCAUACUUUUUCUAUAGUGGAUGCACCAAUUUAUACUCCCAACAGUGCACAAGGGUUCUCUUUUCUCCACAUCCUCACCAACACUUGUUAUCUCUUGUCUUUUUGAUGAUAGCCAUUCUAAGAGGUGUGAGGUGAUAUCUCAUUGUGGUUUUGAUUUGCAUUUCCUUGAUGAUUAGUGAUGUUGAGCACUUUUUCAUGUACCUGUUAGCCAUUUGUAUGCUUUCUUUGGGAAAAUGCCUAUUCAGUUCCUCUGCUCAUUUUUGUAUAGAAUUGAAUUUUUUUUUUUUUUUUUUUUUGCUCUUGAGUUGUAUGAGUUCUUCCUCUUGGAUACUAACCCCCUAUCUGUUCCAUUGGUCUAUGCAUCUAUUUUUGUGCUAGUACCAUACUGUUUUGAUUACUAUAGCUUUGCAGUAUAGUUUGAAAUCAGGAAGUGUCAUGUCUUCAGCUUUAUUCUUCUUUCUUAGGAUUGCUUUGGCUAUUCAGGGUCUUUUGUAGUUCCAUACAAAUUUUAGGGUUAGUUCUUCUAUUUCUGUGAAGAAUGCCAUUGGAAUUUUGAGUAGAGAUUGCAUUGAAUCUAUAGAUGGCUUUGGGUAGUAUGGACAUUUUUAACAAUAUUAAUUCUUCUGAUCCAUGAACAUGGGAUAUCUUUCCAUUUAUUUGUGUCUUCUUCUUUUAUCAAAGUCUUAUACUUUUCAAUGUACAGAUCUCUUACCUCCUUGGUUAAAUUUAUUCCUAAGUAUUUCAUUGUUUUUGAUGCUAUUGUGAAUAGUAUUGUUUUUUAAAAUUUCGUUUGCAGAUAUUUCAUUGUUAUUGCCUAGAAAUGCCACUGAUUUCUGUAUGUCGAUUUUGUAUCCUACAAUGUUACUGAAUUCAUUAAUUAGUUCUAACAGGUUUUUGGUGGAGUCUUUAGGAUAUUCUAUGUAUAAGAUCAUAUCACCCACAAAGAAGUCAACUUUACAUCUUCCUUUCCAGUUUGAAUGACUUUUGUUUCCUCUUCUUGCCUGAUUGCUCUGUCUAGGACUUUCAGUACUGCUGAAUGAGAAUGGUGAGAGUGGGCUCUCUUGACUUGUUCCUGAUCUUAGAGGAAAAGCUCUCAAUUUUUCAUUUUUGAGUAUGUUAACUUGUGGGAAAUCAAAAAAUAUCUUGAAACAAGUGUAAAUGGAAACACAACAUGCCCAAACCUAUGGGUUAACAAAAGCAGUUCUAACAGGGAAGUUUAUCGCAAUAAACACCUGCAUUAAGAAAAAAGAAAUAUCUCAGAUAAGAUGUCCUCAUAAUUUUGUGAAAGGUUGAGCUUUUAAAAAAUCACUCCAAGAACAUUUCUUUCCCUAAGUUGCAUCCUGAGAUACUGAUGAUGAUCAUUGAGUUGUUCAAAGAGCGUACUAUGAUGUUCUUGAAAAUUAAUCUUUAUCAUGUGUGAUCGCUAAACCAGCUGCAUCAAAAUUACCAGGAGUUGGUAUUGAAUAUGUGGGCCCCAGGUAAGACGAUCUGAGUCGGAAUCUGCAAAAGGAUCCCUGGAAUUUGUUUUACACAGGCUUCCCAGGUCAUUUGUAGGGGCCCUAAACUUUGAGAACCACUGUUUUAGAGUUUUGCACCAGAGAAAACAGCAUUUCUUUAGACCUAAGUGAUUGUGAUUAUCUCAUGUGAUUUUUGAACUCCAUGGCUUUUGGUUCAAGCAUCUCUCCUUUUUUUCUUACUCUAACCAUUUUGUCCUUGUUUUAAUCAUUUAAAUGUAUAUUUAAGCCACCUCAAACAUUUUCAGAAGCUGACAAGUUAUGAAUAAUUAAAGAAUAAAGUUAGGGAGUUAUAAAAUAAUAGUUUCCCCCCUGCUUCUGACUUAUAUAUACUUGUUUCAGGCUAGGCAGAUUUUUUUUAAUAUGAAAAUUUUACUUUUUGAUAAAGUUGUUUUACACUUACACCUUUGACUUAAAAGCUCACAUUCUGACUCAUCUAUUUGCACACUACAGUUUGACUCCAGGCUUACAUUCCCAGCAUCUACAACUAAUUGCACUUAUUUAAAAAUGUGUCUCAUUUCCUAAGUAUCUCUCUUGGGGUCUGUAAGGGGUCCAGCUGUGAGUGCAGAAGGCAAAGGGGCCAUGGAGAAAAAGGUCCCAGUAAUGCUGUGUGUUGCUGCCAAAGGUCUGGUACCGUAGCUUGCUUUACAACAAACACAUUUCCCAGGGACUAUUGGAAAGUAAAGACGUAGUGAAGAUAUUCAUCUAUCUUUAGUGUCAGACAAACUUGGUUUAAGUUCUAGCUUUGUCACUUACUGCUGUAUAACUAACUGUGGACAUGAUUCUUAACCUGUUAAGCUUUGGUUUCAGAGAUUUCAAUGGAGGAAACAGCAGCUCUUAGUGGCAGAUUGGAUAAAGUGGGUGAAGGUGAGGAAUGAAGCCAAGAAGAUGCUGGGACUGUUUUCUGGAGGUCAGGAAAACGGGGUUAUUUCCAUCCACACUCUUUAGGAGCCUUAGGAUAUUUGGGGGCUGACCACAACAACUUAAUCAGGCAGAUCCCAAUUUUAGCAUCCCAAGAGCCCUUUUCAAAUUGGUGUUCUAUUUCCCUUUACAGAUGCCUGCUGACUAUCUUAGUAGGGAUCUUUUAAGGCAGUGGUGGCAAACUACAGCCAGUGGGCCAAAUCUAGCCCACAUCCCCUGUUUUCGUAAAUAAAGUUUUAUUGGAACACUGUCACAUCCACUCAUUCAUUGAUUCCUGUAUCGUCUACGGCUGCUUUCGUGCUACCACAGCAGAGUUAAGUGGUUGUGACAAAGACCCAGUGGCUCACAGAGCCUAAAAUAUUUACUGUCAGGUUGUUCCCAGAAAAUGUUUGCUGCCCCUUGCUCCAGGACAAGGCUUCCUUUCCCCCUUGUCUCUCCCCUCAGGGCCUGUGGAGGAGACUGGCUGAUCUGAGACGUUCUCUUGAUGAAGAUGUUCCUGGUGUCAGCCCUCCUCUGCAGCAUUCUCUUUUCAGCAUCAACCUUUAGAAGCCUUGCCCUAAAAAGGGAGCAGUGUAGAAACCGAAGGCAGAAUCAAAGGGGUACAUUUUGGAUUGUGGAAAUUUUGUCAUUACUCAAGUCACACUGCAUCGACAAAACACUUACAGAAACUGAACAUAUUUUUGCAAUUGGUAGAACUGAAAACAGCUUUUGCUCACAGACCUUCUUCCUGGUCACUAGGAUCAGUGUUCUCAAAUUAGAAGGGAGGCAGGGUAAAGGCAAGAAUGGGCAACAGUAGGGCAGUUUGGGGGCUACUGCUUAACUCUUCAAGCCUGUUGUGUUAUCUCCUCCAUGCGCUGAGGACUUGACCAUCUUGGGAGAGCAAAGAGGUCCUUGAGGCUAAUGAAAGCUGGCUGAUGACAGCUAAGUCCUGCUGCUUCUUAGGCCAAAUACUAACCAGGUCUUUUGGGCUGCCUUGGAGAACUCCCCAACCGCCUCCAGGUUAACGCAGAGCCUUGGUGGCAGACAGCUUUGCUGUCAAGUUCUGAGGUUGACUCCCCACUCCUGAUGCCAGCCUCCUCUGCCUGGGCAGAAGUACACCUCCCAGUCCUUCCUGACCCCAUCCCAGCUCAGUCGGCAUUUCCUUCCCCCUUUGCCUGCUUUUCGCACUUCUCUUCCUUUGGACACACUUUUCCUUCUGUCCUGACUGCCCUUCAUCUUUGGGGGGCAAACCUCCAUUUCUCCUUCUCAUCCCAGAUCUAAUGUCUCCUCUGCUGUGACUCUUUCCCUGACUCUGCCAGACAGAAUCUCUUCUCUCCGCGACCUCAGAAUAUUUUCCUACUCUGUUGUAGCCCCACUCAGAUGGUGUAUUUACAUUUUUAUCUCUUGCUCCCUCAGAUAGUGGGCGAAGACUACAUCUUUUUCAUUUUUGUUCCUAGCAGUGUCUGGCACAUGAGAGAGCACCAGUAAAUGCAAAGCAAUAAAGCAUUGAGGUUACUGGCAGGAAUUAGAAUCUGUGGGACCCUGGGCAAGUUACUUACCUCUUUAAGCCUCGCUUCCCAGCUGUCAUGUGGGAAUAAUAAUAACAAUUCAGCCAUAGGAUUAUCGUAAGGAUUAAAUAAACUGAUAAGAUAAGGUGCUUAGCAUAGUGCCUGGUACACAGUAAAGUCUCAGCUGCUGCUAUUUCUAGUAAAACACUCCAAUUAUUUAAUUAUCUAACGUAAUGAACAACAGUACUGAUGAUAACAGCAUGAUGACUGAAUAAACUGAUGGACGAAUGCUCAUUUUAUUCUCUCAUCCCCUUGAUGGGGCCAUUGACAAAGACCCGUGUGCCACCUAAACGGAAAAGCUGUCCUUGGUAGUGAGGGAUCCGGCUUCUCCCAAAGCUUCUCCUUUUCUGGAAGGCCUUUUCCCCACUUGGGCAAAGUUUGGAGUCUCUGAACUUUCCUUUUCUUCAAUCAGGUCAAGCGAUCCUGUGCAGGGGGGAACCAACACCAAAGGCCAAGGAAUGGGCUCCAACACCCCAACUCAUUAAUAUCGUCAGCAUCUUAACAAAUGGGAGGCCGGAGAGCCAGACCGAGCAGCCACUUGGUCACAUGGAGGGGGUCUGCCCUGGGGCCCUGCGCACAUUGAGCGGCCGGGUACAAGUGCCAUCCAUAUUUCUCUGCACAGCCCCGGCCCCCACCUCCCAUGUCAGCCUGCUGAGCGGGCUUGGCCAAGGUUCUUGUGCUUCACAGAGAAGAUUUAUUCCUCAAGACUGACCUACAUGGACAUUCCUCAGCUGUGAAGGGGAGAAACUGCCAUUUUCCCAGCCUUCCUUCCGUUCAACAAUUUUGUGAGACUCUUAAAAGAAAAUGGAUGUGAAUAUGCUUCGGGGGCUAUACAGAUGUAAAUAAACCCUUAUUACCCCUUACCCAGACAUUUGCUGUGAGCUACAUGGAUGACAUCCUCCUUUUACUAACGAGGAAACACGGCUGCUGAGACGUGGCAGGUUUAAAGCCACAUCAAAGCUCCACCUUCUCCAGUCCUUUUCUUCGUGGGAUCAAAGAAGCAGCCUUUUGAUGGAAGGAAGACACACCACAGAGAUGCUGAAUGAAAACAACAGAUCCACAAUUUAUGAUGGAAAAGUAAAGUGGAUUCCCAUGAAGACUUUGGGGAGGUCAAAAAGAAGACAGGCCCUAGAAUGAAAACUGGAAUUAAAACUGUUUUAUUUAAGUUGGAAGUUUUAAAAUGAAUAUUAUUGAGGCAGAAGUGUGUGUUCUAGUUAGUAUUUUUUGCUGGCACUUAAUCUUCUAGCAAAUAGUUUAAUGGGAAGUUUGAAGUUUACACAUAAUAUUUCAGGGUGAUGAACAUUCCACAGUCAUGUCCAUGUUUUCCCUGUGGCAUCAACUUUGAAUAAACUAUGUCUUUUUUCCAGCUUUGUCUUCAGAGUAUUCCUUUAAGGUAG